GGGUUUGUAGCUCAGCCGGUUAGAGCGCUGCAUUCACAUUGCAGAGGUCCCCUGUUCGAGUCAGGGCAAACCCACCA
rnacentral:tRNA from 1 species